rnacentral:tRNA from 1 species
GAGGGUAGACCUCAGCAGUAGAGUGUAUGCUUAGCAUGCAUGAGGUCCUGGGUUCAAUUUCCAGUACCUCCA